AUUUAGGUUCCUAUGCCUUACUUGAAUUCUGUCCUUCCCCCCAUAACUGCAGCUGUUGAUAGAUUUUACAAUCCUAAUAAAUCUGUAUAGAAGACACACAAUCCAGAUAUUUUCAUUAUAAGCCACAUGCCUAGGUUGGGCAGAUCUAGGGCUAUGCUAACUUAUUCUCCGGCUAUAAGACCCCUUGAUACUUGCUGUCUCUCCUGGCCACCUGAUUCUGGUCCAUGGCCACUGCCUGCUCCACCAUCUUCUUCCUCUCCCCAUCUCUGUCCAGAUCUUCAACUCUCUCUUGAGCCUCCAUCCCCAUCUUCCCCUUCCACUGCCCAAUCACAGGCUCUAGCCUUUUAUUGACCAGUUAAACUGGGGAGACAGUUCGCAUGGCAUCAGUUGAGUUUGUGAUGGUCUGGGCAACCACUUCUGUAGGAAUCAGUGUUAGCAUUAGGAUUCAAACCACAUCAUCUAGCCCUGCUUCAAAGAAUCUAGUGUGAGGCAGAAGCAUUUUCAGCCCAAGUAAAACUAAAAUCUGAAACAGGGGCAUCAUUCUCCCAGGAGGAAACCCUUAGUUCACCUCACCUGGGCCAGGGGAUAGGUGCGGUUGCUCUGAGGGAGCUGGGGUUUGCUUUCAGUACCCACCUAAGAGCUGAAUCUUUUGAGCUGAAUCUUUUAUCUUAUCUCUGAACCCUUCUGGAAACCUCCGGACGCUGUCUCUAACUUUCAUCUCAGCAGAGGUGAAACCCAGACCACUCUCUUGUGGUUUCACCUUCAGUUGCUGUUCCCAACAUGGGGAACAUAAGAUACAGUUUCAGAGAUGGACCCUCUGAUGGCAUAGCAAUGACUCAAGUAAUGACCCCCAAGCAAGAAAAUGGCUCCUUGUUUUUCUUACUCCAGCGAUGUCUAUUAGCAGAGACAUGGGCCAGGGAAGGGUGAUGGAUACAGCCAGGGGUGGGAUAUCAGCCUCAAAGUGCAGAGCUUUGCUCUGAAUCUCAGCAGGCAGCCAAAGGGACUGAGACAAAGCUCUUCCUUUCAAGUUGGCAUGGCAAUCAACUUGGAAAUCAGGUUCCCCGGGCCUUUGCCUUCCUAACAAAGGAUCCAGCCUCCUCCAACUGGGUCUCCACUCAGCCCCUGUAGAAAAGUGCUGACAGUAUUAAGUUCUACUCUUCCCUAAGACCCCAGGAGGUCCUCACCGUGCAUAGAUGUGCCAUCUGUUCUUGAGAAACCAAAGCACUUUAGUGAGUCUUACAACCCAUAAUACUUACAGUAUUUGCCCUCUGAAAGGUGGAAGGGGCUUGGGCUAGGUCUCAUUUGAGAGGCAACUAGAGCUAGGAGGAAAAGCCUGGAGCUAGACAGCAGGGAGCUAAGCCACAUCUGCACCACCACAAGCUAUGAACCUCGGGUAGGUUGCUGAAUUUUGCUGCCCCCCCCCCCUAGACAGUUGUGGGGAGGUCCUAACAGCUACCCUCCUGGGAUGGCAGAAAAGGAAGGGAAUAAUAUAACUG
rnacentral:lncRNA from 1 species